rnacentral:rRNA from 1 species
UACAGAGGUCUCAAGCGUUGUUCGGAUUCAUUGGGCGUAAAGAGCUCGUAGGCGGCUUGGUAAGUCGGAUGUGAAACCUCCAGGCUCAACCUGGAGUCGCCAUCCGAUACUGCUAUGGCUAGAGUCCGGUAGGGGCCCACGGAAUUCCUGGUGUAGCGGUGAAAUGCGCAGAUAUCAGGAGGAACACCGGUGGCGAAGGCGCCACUCUGGGCCGGUACUGACGCUGAGGAGCGAAAGCGUGGGUAGCAAACAGG